GGAUGAGACAAACACAUGCAUUUGCUUGUUGUUUUGGCUGGCUGGUUUUCAGAUGAUUAGCAGUUCGAGAAUGUUGGACCAUACGGGAAUCAAAAUCACAAAAUUUCGUUGUAAAAACAUCACACUUUCGAAGGUGCUGUUGCUGUUGGAAUCGCUGAGUGCCCCUCGCUGGGUGGUGGAUUUAGUUUUGUCGCUGUUGUUGGAUAAUUAUGCUGGCUGGCGAACAGCAGCGAAAUCCAUAGGCCGUGUCGAAUUCGAGUAAAGGUGACGAUGAAACUUGUUGGUUGGUGGGUGUGAUGCAUGAUCGAAACCGGACGCCGAUAAUCUGCUGUAGACCGUUCAGUGCAGCAGGUUGAGCAUGUUGAGUAAGUCGAUUCUAAGCCUGUCGAUCUUCGACCAGAGGCUGAUGUUCGACCGUUCGUUUACCGUUGAACCGUGCAUCAACCUGUCGAUCUCCGACCAGAGGUUGAUACAGAGUAUGUGCUGGGCCGAUGUUUCACGCAACGUGUGGUUCACCGAAGAAUGUUGUGUCACUGUUCAUACUGAUGACUGAAGCUAGAAACCGCUGCUGUUUUCACCCACCCGAAGAGUAUUGGUGUUGCGUUGUGACCGGUGCUUAUCCGAAAAUUCAACCCGUCGACUUUCGACCAGGGGUUGUCCUCGACCGUAUGUUUGAUAGCUAAAUGUUCACUGUAUCAGUUGACCAAUUAACCAAUA